GCUAGGCGUUCUCAAAAACUUGUUUGAACAUCCAGGUCUUCAGGUCCUUAUGGAAGGCGGACAGUGUGGAGGCUUGCCUAAUCUCCUUGGGGAGGGCGUUCCAAAGCAGGGCUGGGCAUGCAGUUCUCCAAGGAGUUGUUGAUGUUUUCGUAGCCUGUGACACUUCCACAGAGUGCUGUCUUUAGCAAAACAAAAGGAUACACUGCUUCUCUAAGAAGCCUCCAGAAGCUUGAAUCCAAGCCAGUUCCCCAGACCUUGAUGAAAUGUAUGGUCCUCAUAUUGCCACUAUCAAUGCCAUCACAGAUCCGAAGUAGAAGUGAAGGCUCAUAUGAUACACCAGUGAUUCCAAGGGCUCAUGGAAGAAUAAAGGAGGCAUUCUGAGUGGCCAAUACAAGUUCCUGACCCGCUCAAGAGCUAGGCAGACCAGGCUUGAAUAAUUAUCCAUUUGUCAGAUCUGUUUUAUGGAAUUCAACCAUCUAUCAACAAUGGAACUGAAACAUUCUUGGUCUCAUCUUCUUCCCUCCCCACAUCCUGAAACUAGCUCAGACACAUUAUGUGUCAAACAAAGCACAUUCAAAGCAGACUAAAAUUCUCAUAUCUUCCACCUUUGCCACUAACCUAUCUCUAUCAUUUUCCACAACAAUACAUCUGAUAUAUACCUUCAAGCGAGGGGUAGAGCAAGUGUGGUAGGCUAUUUUCACAUACCUUGAUUUACCAUAAGAAGAAGCAAAAUAUAAAGCCAAAAAACAGCUUCCAGGAAUAGAAAGUAGCCUUGCCAUGUCCCAUUUUCCUUACAGUUGGGAAGCCUUGCAGAGAGGGUUUCCUGGGACUGCAAAACCAGAAGCACAACCUUCCCUAUGCCCCUGCUUUAAGCAUUUCUUCUAUGUCAGCCCGUUCCUUCAUUUCCAACUCCAAACCACCAGCUUAUGCUUCUGUAAUGGAAAGUUUAGCCAAUCUGAGAAGUAGGUGACCAAAGUGUGAACACGUACUUCUGCAGACGCGCGAUCACUGCAAGUUUCAGGGCAUAAAUCACUUAAACAAAAAACUCCUCUCCAGUCUGCAUAUGCAUAUACUAAACAUUCAAAGGCAACAUUCACAAUUUAAGGACACAGCAGCCACAAAGUUGAUAAGCUAUGAAAGCCUCCCAGCUUUAGAAAUAGCAACAAGCCCUAUGUUAACCAUUUCAAUAUGACUGAGCAAGAUGCUUCCUUGCCCUAAAUGUCACCAUAUCAAAACUGUACAUGCAUUAACAUGUACAGUUAACAAAGAAGAUGUGUCCCUGGUUGUUACUUCUUUUAAAAGUAGAAAUAACAAGAGAAGGAAUAGGGACAGGAUACAAAACCACAAAAAAGAUGAGAAGUUCAAUAUGUUUCCAGUUAACAUUCAAUACUAAACAAUGUAUGCAUCUGAAGCGAAAUAACCUAGUCAGGUAAACUUUGCAUAAGUACUCAAAAACAUUUUGACUCUUCUAGAGACCCCAGAAGUCUUUUUCCACAAUGUAUUCAGGAAUUAUUUUUUCUUUCACAAGUUUCCAUUUUUCAUGGUUUCCAUUCUGGAGAGCAGACAUAUGGGUUCUAUACUAGGAGAAGCUGCUGAGACAAACUUCUCUGCAGUUUACCUUGCCUCUUUUAGGCUGGUACACAUGGUAACAGAAGCAUUUAUUAGAGCAGAAACCUACUUUUUCUGAGCUCAAAUUUUAUUACACUGUUUACUCUAGAUGCACUGAUGUUUUUACUCUAGAUAUGCUACUCUUAUCCUCUCUCACCAUCCUCUCAAUGCCAAAUCUGGUAUUAAAAAUUUCCAGCUAGAUAGAAGACAAAGAAAUAAAGUGGAGCUUGGCAGGUAGAAAUGGACUUUAUAAAAAGAACAUUCUUUGUCAGAUGCUUUAUUAACUAAGGUACCUAUAUUGGAUAUCGGGGUUUGCCAUUCUGGCUCUUGCAACUACCAUCAGUCUCCUCUCCACUCUCAUUUACACCUAAUACAAACAUCAUUCAGAGAAAAUUAGAAAUUGAUUUGAAGCGGUGACUAACUGGUUUGGUGACGUAGUUAAGCAUCCGAGACAGAAAGUGUUCACUUUAACAACAUUAUCAUGCUUUUGUUUGCCGCCUAGAGAAGGAAUCAACUAUAUUUAGAGACAUGAAUUCCAAAUCUCCUGCUAGUGAUGAUUUCCUGUCUUAUAUUUACAAGAAAUUGUUGUACUAUGUAAUAUAUCAAUUAAAAAACCAGUUAAGAAA